rnacentral:rRNA from 1 species
CCUACGGGGGGCUGCAGUAGGGAAUAUUGGACAAUGGGUGCAAGCCUGAUCCAGCCAUGCCGCGUGCAGGAAGAAGGCCUUCUGGGUCGUAAACUGCUUUUGCCGGGGGCUAAAAUAGCUAUGCGUAGCGAAUUGAAGGUACCUGGUGAAUAAGCCACGGCUAACUACGUGCCAGCAGCCGCGGUAAUACGUAGGUGGCAAGCGUUGUCCGGAUUUAUUGGGUGUGAAGGGUGCGUAGGAAGUCAGUGGUGAAAUGCGGCAGCUUAACCAUCGAGGUGCCAUUGAUACUGCUUGACUUGAGUAAUGAUGAGGUAGGCGGAAUGGACGGUGUAGCGGUGAAAUGCUUAGAGAUCGUCCAGAACACCGAUAGCGAAGGCAGCUUACUAAGGAGUAACUGACGCUGAGGCACGAAAGUGUGGGGAUCAAACAGGAUUAGAUACCCUAGUAGUC